GAGAUAUAGUGUAGUAAGAAGAGGUGGCAGGGCAGCAAACUGAGCAGAGGAGAGAAGACAGUGGUUUGCUUAGGAAACAGGAGUGUGGUGAUCAACCUGUUGUAAUACUGGAGUUCAGAGAAGAUUCCUUGUACAAAUCUGAUUUGGAGAAUUGGAGUAGGACUCUAGGGCCACAUAUUGAAAGUAAGAGGUUAUAGAAAAUCUAUAAGAUUCUAAAUUCAGCAAUUUUUUUUCCAACUGAAGAAAAAGCAAAACCAGAACUGUGAGAUUUUUAUUUUAUGAUUGUAAAACACUCAACUGUGGGUUUGGGAGAUUGCUGAUUGAGAGAAGUUAAUGUGUUGGUUGAAUCUGGCGAUGUGGAACCCAUGGAUAUGGAGGGCUGACUAUAUACACCAUGUUUUUUCCUGGCACAUCACUCAACUACUAUUAGCUGGCGAGUCAACUCACGUUGUUGGAAUGACUAGGGACAACUAGACUUCAAGUGAUCUUUCAUCCCAGGAAUAUAAAUAGUUUCUGGAAAGGACACUGACAACUUCAAAGCAAAAUGAAGUUCUUUCUGUUGCUUUUCACCAUUGGGUUCUGCUGGGCUCAGUAUUCCCCAAAUACACAACAAGGACGGACAUCUAUUGUUCAUCUGUUUGAAUGGCGAUGGGUUGAUAUUGCUCUUGAAUGUGAGCGAUAUUUAGCUCCCAAGGGAUUUGGAGGGGUUCAGGUCUCUCCACCAAAUGAAAAUGUUGCAAUUCACAACCCUUUCAGACCUUGGUGGGAAAGAUACCAACCAGUUAGCUAUAAAUUAUGCACAAGAUCUGGAAAUGAAGAUGAAUUUAGAAAC
rnacentral:lncRNA from 10 species